ACGCUCGACACCUACUGGAGGCAGCAGUGGGGAAUAUUGCACAAUGGGGGAAACCCUGAUGCAGCGACGCCGCGUGGAGGAAGAAGGUCUUCGGAUUGUAAACUCCUGUUGUUGGGGGAAAAAAGAGGAUGGUACCCAACAAGGAAGUGACGGUUAACUACGUGCAGCACGCGNGGUAUNGAGGCGGCGUGGACGAGC
rnacentral:rRNA from 1 species